rnacentral:rRNA from 1 species
AUACGGAGGAUGCGAGCGUUGUCCGGAAUUACUGGGCGUAAAGAGCUCGUAGGUGGUUUGUCGCGUCGUCUGUGAAAUUCCGGGGCUUAACUCCGGGCGUGCAGGCGAUACGGGCAUAACUUGAGUACUGUAGGGGAGACUGGAAUUCCUGGUGUAGCGGUGAAAUGCGCAGAUAUCAGGAGGAACACCGGUGGCGAAGGCGGGUCUCUGGGCAGUAACGGACGCUGAGGAGCGAAAGCAUGGGUAGCGAACAGGAUUAGAUACCCUGGUAGUCCAUGCCGUAAACGGUGGGCGCUAGGUGUAGGGGUCUUCCACGACUUCUGUGCCGUAGCUAACGCAUUAAGCGCCCCGCCUGGGGAGUACGGCCGCAAGGCUAAAACUCAAAUGAAUUGACGGGG